UCGCUGUGGUUUAUGGUAAAGCCUUAAUUGGCACAUAGGCUGAAGCGAGUGAGGGAAACAUGUAAUUGUGAGUGGUUGAUUUCAACUGCUACCAUUGCAGUAAAUUAACUCAC
rnacentral:ribozyme from 1 species